UAAUUUAAUUUAAAAAAAAUAUUAAAUUUGUAAUUUAAAAAUAUAAUUAUUUAUAAUUAAUA
rnacentral:tRNA from 1 species